UUUUAGAAAUCACGACACAAGUCACAAGUGGUCGUUAGAUCCACAGGAUGAAUUGAAGAAAGUGUGUACUUGCAGUUCCGCUUGUGUUUGUUUAUAAAGUGAAAUUUGAGGAACCUUAUAACACAAAAAAUAAAUGAAGAAAAUAAGAUACAGACAUACACAACACCAGAUGACAAAAAUAAGUCCAGUGUUUCAGCAGCUGGUUACUUUCUAGAACACUGCCUGUAUGUAGAAUACCACACAGGAGGAAUGAAGAAUAAUGGUUAAAAGCAAAGCUGAAAAAAAAAACCCCACAUAUUGCAUUCAAACAAAAAAGCAGCAGAGACAUAUGAGAAGAAGCCAAAGGAGAAGACUGAUCCAUAAGGGAUAUCUAAGCUGUCGUUUGAUCUCCUGCCACCUUUCACUUUGAGGAGUGAAUUUCACCAUCUGGUCAAGAAUGUGGUAGGAGACUGCAUUUAUGAAGACGCAGGAGAGGAUGUGGGAAACAGAAGGUCUCCGUGCUCUUUCUGCUCUCGCCCAUGUACCUGUAGGCCAGGAAUAGUCUCUGCUUUAACAUCAAUAAUCUGGGUAACUGCGUUGUUCCUCCUGCCCUCGCAGAGAUUUUCAUACGUAAGGAAAGUAAUUGUAUCAAUAAAGCUGUUGGAUAAAAACACAAAUAAAGAUUUAGACUGGUCUGCAGUGAGGCUUCAUGCGUUCACCUGAAAUCCUCAGGCAGCAAGAGGCUGAAUUCGUGCAAUAAUGAACAAGGAAACUAUGUGUAUUAACUCUGCAGGGAAGAAAACAAAUCUGGAGUGCAUCUAUAAAUGCUCUUAGGACAUACUUUGAGAUGUGGAUAGUGGGGUUUGUGUUAGAUUUCAGAACUGCUUCAGCUUUUCUUUGUGCAUUCUCACACAUAUAUGACAAUGAAAAUUAAUUUUCUCAAGGAAUAACAAAAUACUUUGUGUUUAUACUUUUCAGUUAUUUUCCAUCUGGGAAAUGUGUAUUGCCUCACGAAUAUUAAUAUAUAUGCUUGACAAAUGAUCUGGUGUAAAUUUUUCAAACUGAAACUGAAGCAGAGAAAUGCUCUCCCAGAGGAAAAAGAAUUGGCCUGCCAUAUCAACCCUUCUCCCAAAAAUACACUUAAAGACCAGAAAUACAAUUAGAAAUCCUUGGGAUUGUGUCAAGAAACUUAAGAGUGUAGUCAUCACCAAUAGAUGAUCAUCACCAAUAGAUCAUCAAAAAGUAAAGUAGGCAAAUAGCUUUCAAUUAUUCUUGCUGCUUACUUGCCCAUAAUUUACUGAGUCAGUGAAAGGACUGGGCUAAAUAAUCUAAAUAAUCUAAUAACAAUUUGUGUCUGGAGGGGAUAAUUCUGGAACACAGAAAUAUGAAAUGCAGAGGGAUCAUGCUUUUGAAGUAUCUCUGAUAUCUUGAUAUAAAUGUGGACAUAUAAUGAAUACUGUCCAGUUCUUGUUCUACACCGCUCGCCCCGUUUCUAUUAACAGUUGCGUAAAUUAAGCUCUUUAAAACGUGCAUUACUCUGAUAGCCUUUUCUUGCUAUAGAAUGAGUCGAGUUGAGGGGGCGGGUGUGAAAAAAAGAUCCCAUAACCCAGGAGCAGUGACUGCUUGUGGUAGUUCCUAUCAUUCCUAGAGAAAUGUGGUAGCAGCAACAAAGCCACUGGCCUUCAUAUAGGCCAAGCAAAUAUUUCAUUUUUAGAACUUAAGAAAGAAUAUUCUUCUUU